rnacentral:rRNA from 1 species
UAUGCCUACGCGAGGCAGCAGUGGGGAACCUUCCGCAAUGGGCGAAAGCCUGACGGAGCAACGCCGCGUGAUCGAAUGAAGGCCUUCGGGUUGUAAAGAUCUGUUGACAGGGACGAAUAAGCAAUGCGAAUAGUUCUGUGUAUGACGGUACUUGUUUAGAAAGCUCCGGCUAACUACGUGCCAGCAGCCGCGGUAAUACGUAGGGAGCAAGCGUUGUCCGGAAUUACUGGGCGUAAAGGGCGCGUAGGUGGGCGCUUAAGUCAGGUGUGAAAACUCCGGGCUCAACGUGGAGACUGCACUUGAAA